rnacentral:rRNA from 1 species
AAGUCGAACGGAAAGGCCUUUUCGGAGGUACUCGAGUGGCGAACGGGUGAGUAACACGUGGGUGAUCUGCCCUGCACUCUGGGAUAAGCCUGGGAAACUGGGUCUAAUACCGGAUAGGACCGCACUUUAGUGUGUGUGGUGGAAAGUUUUUUCGGUGUAGGAUGAGCCCGCGGCCUAUCAGCUUGUUGGUGGGGUAAUGGCCUACCAAGGCGGCGACGGGUAGCCGGACUGAGAGGUUGGUCGGCCACAUUGGGACUGAGAUACGGCCCAGACUCCUACGGGAGGCAGCAGUGGGGAAUAUUGCACAAUGGGCGCAAGCCUGAUGCAGCGACGCCGCGUGGGGGAUGACGGCCUUCGGGUUGUAAACUCCUUUCGCCAGGGACGAAGCGUCUUGUGACGGUACCUGGAGAAGAAGCACCGGCUAACUACGUGCCAGCAGCCGCGGUAAUACGUAGGGUGCAAGCGUUGUCCGGAAUUACUGGGCGUAAAGAGCUCGUAGGUGGUUUGUCACGUCGUCUGUGAAAUUCCACAGCUUAACUGUGGGCGUGCAGGCGAUACGGGCUGACUUGAGUACUGUAGGGGUAACUGGAAUUCCUGGUGUAGCGGUGAAAUGCGCAGAUAUCAGGAGGACACCGAUGGCGAAGGCAGGUUACUGGGCAGUUACUGACGCUGAGGAGCGAAAGCAUGGGUAGCAAACAGGAUUA